rnacentral:rRNA from 1 species
GACGAACGCUGGCGGCGUGCCUAAUACAUGCAAGUUGAGCGCUGAAGGUUGGUACUUGUACCAACUGGAUGAGCAGCGAACGGGUGAGUAACGCGUGGGGAAUCUGCCUUUGAGCGGGGGACAACAUUUGGAAACGAAUGCUAAUACCGCAUAAAAACUUUAAACACAAGUUUUAAGUUUGAAAGAUGCAAUUGCAUCACUCAAAGAUGAUCCCGCGUUGUAUUAGCUAGUUGGUGAGGUAAAGGCUCACCAAGGCGAUGAUACAUAGCCGACCUGAGAGGGUGAGCGGCCACAGUGGGACUGAGACACGGCACAAACUGCUACGGGAGGCAGCAGUAGGGAAUCGUCGGCAAUGGGCGAAAGUCUGACCGAGAAACGCCGCGUGAGUGAAGAAGGUUGUCGGAUCGUAAAACUCGGUUGGUAGAGAAGAACGUGGGUGAGAGUGGAAAGCUCAGCAAGUGACGGUAACUACCCAGAAAGGGACGGCUAACUACGUG